rnacentral:rRNA from 1 species
UACGUAGGGUGCAAGCGUUAAUCGGAAUUACUGGGCGUAAAGCGUGCGCAGGCGGCUAUGCAAGACAGAUGUGAAAUCCCCGGGCUCAACCUGGGAACUGCAUUUGUGACUGCAUGGCUAGAGUACGGUAGAGGGGGAUGGAAUUCCGCGUGUAGCAGUGAAAUGCGUAGAGUAUGCGGAGGAACACCGAUGGCGAAGGCAAUCCCCUGGACCUGUACUGACGCUCAUGCACGAAAGCGUGGGGAGCAACAGG